GACGAACGCUGGCGGCGUGCCUAAUACAUGCAAGUCGAACGCUUUUUUCUUUCACCGGAGCUUGCUCCACCGAAAGAAAAAGAGUGGCGAACGGGUGAGUAACACGUGGGUAACCUGCCCAUCAGAAGGGGAUAACACUUGGAAACAGGUGCUAAUACCGUAUAACACUAUUUUCCGCAUGGAAGAAAGUUGAAAGGCGCUUUUGCGUCACUGAUGGAUGGACCCGCGGUGCAUUAGCUAGUUGGUGAGGUAACGGCUCACCAAGGCAACGAUGCAUAGCCGACCUGAGAGGGUGAUCGGCCACACUGGGACUGAGACACGGCCCAGACUCCUACGGGAGGCAGCAGUAGGGAAUCUUCGGCAAUGGACGAAAGUCUGACCGAGCAAACGCCGCGUGAGUGAAGAAGGUUUUUCGGAUUCGUAAAAACUUCUGU
rnacentral:rRNA from 1 species